ensembl:lncRNA
CAGAAAUUUUAGAUUACCGAGGAUUAUUCCAGGAAUUCCAUGCACUGUGAUAACCUGCUGCAUCCAACAGGCUUCCAAAGGUGUGGAUGAAAAGUAACCAAGAGGUAACAAAAGGAAUAUACCAUCUUGGCUGCCAUCCGCAUUAUUAGGAAAAACAAACAAACAAGCAAACAACCACCCAACAAGAAACGACAGAAGUACAAAGACAUGUCACUGUGCUACAGUUGGAAAGAUUAGCACAGUGGAAUGGCAAAGAGGCAAGCGGGAAAAGAAUGUUCACUCAUAUCAAAUCAUUGGCCUGAGGUCAUUAAUAUAGAGGUAUUGUAUUG